rnacentral:lncRNA from 1 species
UGAAGGGCUGCAGAUGUCUGCCUUGAGAUAUAAGAACGUCAAUUCUACACUUUGUUAGCGAUUUUGAAGAAGUGUUGGCCGUCCGGUUAGAUUGAUAUAUAUACGCAUGCUGAUAUCAUUUGAUAUGUCUCGUGUCUUGGCUUGUUGUGAUUCUUAAAAAAAGUAUCAGGCUUGUUUUAAGAUUAGAACGUUGAAGUAUUAUUGGUCCUUAGCAUCUUCUUUUUGUAAAUUUAAUUUGAUAUCCUGUUUGGAUCCUAUGUCUGCAAACUUCGAGCUGUUUUGAAGAUGUCUUGGUUAGAUGGGGGAAAAAUGUUAAAUUGGUGUCACCUUGACCCACAAUAGCCCAAAGUUCAUACCCCAGUUCCUUUCUUAAAGUCAUUAUAAGAAAACAUGUUCCAAACGAUGUAAAGGUUUAAUUUGUUUACUGGAAAAACGAUGAAAAAGUUGCUCGGCGACGAACUGCCCAUGCGGCAUCUCACCCACCGGGCUUACAAAAAACAUCAUAGUACGACGAUGUGGAUCCGGACCGCAUCGUCGGUCAGCUCAGGACGCAAGCAGUGACGCCUUGGCCCGCCUAUUAAACCAACUCCGCUAUGUGUAUGAGCGCAUUCAAGCUAGCAGAGCACACACACGCGUCCAUCUCCAAGAAGCGGAAGCUAGCACAGCAGAGCAAAGCAAGGUGCAAUGGCGCCGGCGGUGAAGGUGUACGGGUGGGCGGUGUCGCCGUUCGUGGCGCGCCCGCUGCUGUGCCUGGAGGAGGCCGGCGUCGACUACGAGCUCGUCCCCAUGAGCCGCGCGGCCGGCGACCACCGCCAGCCGGACUUCCUCGCCCGGAACCCCUUCGGCCAGGUCCCCGUCCUCGAGGACGGCGACCUCACCCUCUUCGGUACGCCCAUUUCCAUCAUCCUCUAUUCUCAGGAGUAGGAACGAGUUAUUAACAGUCUGAAAUUCCGCACGCAGAGUCGCGCGCGAUCGCGAGGCACGUGCUCCGGAAGCACAAGCCGGAGCUGCUGGGCUGCGGCUCGCCGGAGGCGGAGGCGAUGGUGGACGUGUGGCUGGAGGUGGAGGCCCACCAGUACAACCCGGCGGUCAGCGCCAUCGUGGUACAGUGCAUCAUCUUGCCGCUCCUCGGCGGCGCGCGGGACCAGGCGGUGGUGGACGAGAACGUGGCCAAGCUCAAGAAGGUGCUGGAGGUCUACGAGGCGCGGCUGUCGGCGUCGAGGUACCUCGCCGGCGACGACAUCAGCCUCGCCGACCUCAGCCACUUCCCCUUCACGCGCUACUUGAUGGAGACGGAGUACGCGCCGCUGGUGGCGGAGCUCCCCCACGUGAACGCGUGGUGGGAGGGGCUCAAGGCCAGGCCGGCCGCGAGGAAGGUGACGGAGCUCAUGCCGCCGGACCUUGGGCUUGGAAAGAAGGCAGAGGAGUGAUGACUGCCUGGCAAUUACACCGGACUGCCGCCCACGUUCACCAGAAUCGAGCAAGUCACUGUCGACUGUCGAGUCUCCUGUCCGGUUUUGCGUUGUACCGGCAGAUAUGUUCUGUGCCAGUGGCUCGUGUUUUGAGUCUCACGCUUGAAUAAAAUGCAAGAUACCCAUCGGUUCCAAAAUAAUUAAAAUUUUAUGUUUAUUUUAAGUCAAGCUUCAUUGAAUUUGAUCAGUUUUUAUAUUAAAAUAUAUCAACAUCAAACUUGCUCAUUACGAAAUGUAUUUUCAUAUUAUAUUGAUAUAAUGACACAGACACACACCAGUUUCAAAAAAAAAA